GGCGAGAUCCGAGGUAGUUCGGAUUGGAGUUGAACCUGGCUGGAAGAAGUCUGGAAGGGAUUCAGGGAGGAGCCGACGGUCGUAAAAGGUCGGCUGGCGGCAGAGCUUAGUGAGCGCUUGGGGCGGCUUGAUAGGCGACUGGAGGAACUCAUGUUGAAGGAGUUUGGGUGGCGCAGUAGGAGUUCGCUCGUCGGGGGAGUUCAGUCAGCACCGUGGAAAUCCGGUUGUUGGAGAAGUCCGGAGAGGUACCAUCUGCAGUCGAA
rnacentral:lncRNA from 1 species